GGGUUGUGAGGUUAAGCGACUAAGCGUACACGGUGGAUGCCCUGGCAGUCAGAGGCGAUGAAGGACGUGCUAAUCUGCGAUAAGCGUCGGUAAGGUGAUAUGAACCGUUAUAACCGGCGAUUUCCGAAUGGGGAAACCCAGUGUGUUUCGACACACUAUCAUUAACUGAAUCCAUAGGUUAAUGAGGCGAACCGGGGGAACUGAAACAUCUAAGUACCCCGAGGAAAAGAAAUCAACCGAGAUUCCCCCAGUAGCGGCGAGCGAACGGGGAGCAGCCCAGAGCCUGAAUCAGUGUGUGUGUUAGUGGAAGCGUCUGGAAAGGCGCGCGAUACAGGGUGACAGCCCCGUACACAAAAAUGCACAUGCUGUGAGCUCGAUGAGUAGGGCGGGACACGUGGUAUCCUGUCUGAAUAUGGGGGGACCAUCCUCCAAGGCUAAAUACUCCUGACUGACCGAUAGUGAACCAGUACCGUGAGGGAAAGGCGAAAAGAACCCCGGCGAGGGGAGUGAAAAAGAACCUGAAACCGUGUACGUACAAGCAGUGGGAGCACGCUUAGGCGUGUGACUGCGUACCUUUUGUAUAAUGGGUCAGCGACUUAUAUUCUGUAGCAAGGUUAACCGAAUAGGGGAGCCGAAGGGAAACCGAGUCUUAACUGGGCGUUAAGUUGCAGGGUAUAGACCCGAAACCCGGUGAUCUAGCCAUGGGCAGGUUGAAGGUUGGGUAACACUAACUGGAGGACCGAACCGACUAAUGUUGAAAAAUUAGCGGAUGACUUGUGGCUGGGGGUGAAAGGCCAAUCAAACCGGGAGAUAGCUGGUUCUCCCCGAAAGCUAUUUAGGUAGCGCCUCGUGAAUUCAUCUCCGGGGGUAGAGCACUGUUUCGGCAAGGGGGUCAUCCCGACUUACCAACCCGAUGCAAACUGCGAAUACCGGAGAAUGUUAUCACGGGAGACACACGGCGGGUGCUAACGUCCGUCGUGAAGAGGGAAACAACCCAGACCGCCAGCUAAGGUCCCAAAGUCAUGGUUAAGUGGGAAACGAUGUGGGAAGGCCCAGACAGCCAGGAUGUUGGCUUAGAAGCAGCCAUCAUUUAAAGAAAGCGUAAUAGCUCACUGGUCGAGUCGGCCUGCGCGGAAGAUGUAACGGGGCUAAACCAUGCACCGAAGCUGCGGCAGCGACGCUUAUGCGUUGUUGGGUAGGGGAGCGUUCUGUAAGCCUGCGAAGGUGUGCUGUGAGGCAUGCUGGAGGUAUCAGAAGUGCGAAUGCUGACAUAAGUAACGAUAAAGCGGGUGAAAAGCCCGCUCGCCGGAAGACCAAGGGUUCCUGUCCAACGUUAAUCGGGGCAGGGUGAGUCGACCCCUAAGGCGAGGCCGAAAGGCGUAGUCGAUGGGAAACAGGUUAAUAUUCCUGUACUUGGUGUUACUGCGAAGGGGGGACGGAGAAGGCUAUGUUGGCCGGGCGACGGUUGUCCCGGUUUAAGCGUGUAGGCUGGUUUUCCAGGCAAAUCCGGAAAAUCAAGGCUGAGGCGUGAUGACGAGGUACUACGGUGCUGAAGCAACAAAUGCCCUGCUUCCAGGAAAAGCCUCUAAGCAUCAGGUAACAUCAAAUCGUACCCCAAACCGACACAGGUGGUCAGGUAGAGAAUACCAAGGCGCUUGAGAGAACUCGGGUGAAGGAACUAGGCAAAAUGGUGCCGUAACUUCGGGAGAAGGCACGCUGAUAUGUAGGUGAAGUCCCUUGCGGAUGGAGCUGAAAUCAGUCGAAGAUACCAGCUGGCUGCAACUGUUUAUUAAAAACACAGCACUGUGCAAACACGAAAGUGGACGUAUACGGUGUGACGCCUGCCCGGUGCCGGAAGGUUAAUUGAUGGGGUUAGCGCAAGCGAAGCUCUUGAUCGAAGCCCCGGUAAACGGCGGCCGUAACUAUAACGGUCCUAAGGUAGCGAAAUUCCUUGUCGGGUAAGUUCCGACCUGCACGAAUGGCGUAAUGAUGGCCAGGCUGUCUCCACCCGAGACUCAGUGAAAUUGAACUCGCUGUGAAGAUGCAGUGUACCCGCGGCAAGACGGAAAGACCCCGUGAACCUUUACUAUAGCUUGACACUGAACAUUGAGCCUUGAUGUGUAGGAUAGGUGGGAGGCUUUGAAGUGUGGACGCCAGUCUGCAUGGAGCCGACCUUGAAAUACCACCCUUUAAUGUUUGAUGUUCUAACGUUGACCCGUAAUCCGGGUUGCGGACAGUGUCUGGUGGGUAGUUUGACUGGGGCGGUCUCCUCCUAAAGAGUAACGGAGGAGCACGAAGGUUGGCUAAUCCUGGUCGGACAUCAGGAGGUUAGUGCAAUGGCAUAAGCCAGCUUGACUGCGAGCGUGACGGCGCGAGCAGGUGCGAAAGCAGGUCAUAGUGAUCCGGUGGUUCUGAAUGGAAGGGCCAUCGCUCAACGGAUAAAAGGUACUCCGGGGAUAACAGGCUGAUACCGCCCAAGAGUUCAUAUCGACGGCGGUGUUUGGCACCUCGAUGUCGGCUCAUCACAUCCUGGGGCUGAAGUAGGUCCCAAGGGUAUGGCUGUUCGCCAUUUAAAGUGGUACGCGAGCUGGGUUUAGAACGUCGUGAGACAGUUCGGUCCCUAUCUGCCGUGGGCGCUGGAGAACUGAGGGGGGCUGCUCCUAGUACGAGAGGACCGGAGUGGACGCAUCACUGGUGUUCGGGUUGUCAUGCCAAUGGCACUGCCCGGUAGCUAAAUGCGGAAGAGAUAAGUGCUGAAAGCAUCUAAGCACGAAACUUGCCCCGAGAUGAGUUCUCCCUGACUCCUUGAGAGUCCUGAAGGAACGUUGAAGACGACGACGUUGAUAGGCCGGGUGUGUAAGCGCAGCGAUGCGUUGAGCUAACCGGUACUAAUGAACCGUGAGGCUUAACCUUACAACGCCGAAGGUGUUU
rnacentral:rRNA from 1 species